AGAUGAUGGAGAUACUAUUAGGGAUGAUGCUGAAAUCUUGGACCCAAAUGAUGGUAGAAUCCUCUUCACUGUACUACUGGUGAACUCGGCGACAAGGCACUAGAAUUCUAGGCAAAACCCUUUGAACAAAAAUUCUCUUUCACAGAUUCAUCUUGUAGUCAAUGCAAUUGUUAAUUUAUAAAAAAACUCAUCACCGGGGACAAGACGCAAUGGCUCCGUUGCUGUUUUUCGAACA